UAGGGAAUAUUGCACAAUGGAGGAAACUCUGAUGCAGCGACGCCGCGUGAGUGAUGAAGGACUUCGGUUCGUAAAGCUCUGUCGUACGGGAAUAAGAAAGUGAAUGUACCGUGCAAGAAAGGAUCGGCUAACUUCGUGCCAGCAGCCGCGGUAAGACGAGGGAUCCUAGCGUUGUUCGGAAUCAUUGGGCGUAAAGCGGGUGCAGGUGGCUUUGUAAGUCAGGUGUGAAAUCCCAGGGCUCAACCCUGGA
rnacentral:rRNA from 1 species